UAGGGAAUCUUCCACAAUGGACGAAAGUCUGAUGGAGCAACGCCGCGUGAGUGAAGAAGGGUUUCGGCUCGUAAAGCUCUGUUGGUAGUGAAGAAAGAUAGAGGUAGUAACUGGCCUUUAUUUGACGGUAAUUACUUAGAAAGUCACGGCUAACUACGUGCCAGCAGCCGCGGGAAUACGUAGGUGGCAAGCGUUGUCCGGAUUUAUUGGGCGUAAAGCGAGUGCAGGCGGUUCAAUAAGUCUGAUGUGAAAGCCUUCGGCUCAACCGGAGAAUUGCAUCAGAAACUGUUGAACUUGAGUGCAGAAGAGGAGAGUGGAACUCCAUGUGUAGCGGUGGAAUGCGUAGAUAUAUGGAAGAACACCAGUGGCGAAGGCGGCUCUCUGGUCUGCAACUGACGCUGAGGCUCGAAAGCAUGGGUAGCGAACAGG
rnacentral:rRNA from 1 species